rnacentral:rRNA from 1 species
UACGGAGGGUGCGAGCGUUGUCCGGAAUCAUUGGGCGUAAAGGGCGCGUAGGCGGCCCUGUAAGUCCGUUGUGAAAGUCAAAGGCUCAACCUUUGAAAGCCGAUGGAUACUGCAGGGCUAGAGUCCGGAAGAGGCGAGUGGAAUUCCUGGUGUAGCGGUGGAAUGCGCAGAUAUCAGGAGGAACACCAAUAGCGAAGGCAGCUCGCUGGGACGGUACUGACGCUAAGGCGCGAAAGCGUGGGGAGCGAACAGG